GCAGUCGAGCGGUAGCACAGAGAGCUUGCUCUCGGGUGACGAGCGGCGGACGGGUGAGUAAUGUCUGGGAAACUGCCUGAUGGAGGGGGAUAACUACUGGAAACGGUAGCUAAUACCGCAUAACGUCGCAAGACCAAAGUGGGGGACCUUCGGGCCUCAUGCCAUCAGAUGUGCCCAGAUGGGAUUAGCUAGUAGGUGGGGUAACGGCUCACCUAGGCGACGAUCCCUAGCUGGUCUGAGAGGAUGACCAGCCACACUGGAACUGAGACACGGUCCAGACUCCUACGGGAGGCAGCAGUGGGGAAUAUUGCACAAUGGGCGCAAGCCUGAUGCAGCCAUGCCGCGUGUGUGAAGAAGGCCUUCGGGUUGUAAAGCACUUUCAGCGGGGAGGAAGGCGAUGAGGUUAAUAACCUUGUCGAUUGACGUUACCCGCAGAAGAAGCACCGGCUAACUCCGUGCCAGCAGCCGCGGUAAUACGGAGGGUGCAAGCGUUAAUCGGAAUUACUGGGCGUAAAGCGCACGCAGGCGGUCUGUCAAGUCGGAUGUGAAAUCCCCGGGCUCAACCUGGGAACUGCAUUCGAAACUGGCAGGCUAGAGUCUUGUAGAGGGGGGUAGAAUUCCAGGUGUAGCGGUGAAAUGCGUAGAGAUCUGGAGGAAUACCGGUGGCGAAGGCGGCCCCCUGGACAAAGACUGACGCUCAGGUGCGAAAGCGUGGGGAGCAAACAGGAUUAGAUACCCUGGUAGUCCACGCUGUAAACGAUGUCGAUUUGGAGGUUGUGCCCUUGAGGCGUGGCUUCCGGAGCUAACGCGUUAAAUCGACCGCCUGGGGAGUACGGCCGCAAGGUUAAAACUCAAAUGAAUUGACGGGGGCCCGCACAAGCGGUGGAGCAUGUGGUUUAAUUCGAUGCAACGCGAA
rnacentral:rRNA from 1 species